AGCGUUGCUAAGGCCGAUGGCGACCGGCGCACGGGUGAGUAACACGUAUCCAACCUGCCGUCUACUCUUGGACAGCCUUCUGAAAGGAAGAUUAAUACAAGAUGGCAUCAUGAGUCCGCAUGUUCACAUGAUUAAAGGUAUUCCGGUAGACGAUGGGGAUGCGUUCCAUUACAUAGUAGGCGGGGUAACGGCCCACCUAGUCUUCGAUGGAUAGGGGUUCUGAGAGGAAGGUCCCCCACAUUGGAACUGACACACGGUCCAAACUCCUACGGGAGGCAGCAGUGAGGAAUAUUGAUCAAUGGGCGAGAGCCUGAACCAGCCAAGUAGCGUGAAGGAUGACUGCCCUAUGGGUUGUAAACUUCUUUUAUAAAGGAAUAAAGUCGGGUAUGGAUACCCGUUUGCAUGUACUUUAUGAAUGAGGAUCGGCUAACUCCGUGCCAGCAGCCGCGGUAAUACGGAGGAUCCGAGCGUUAUCCGGAUUUAUUGCGUUAAAAGGGAGCGUAGAUGGAUGUUUAAGUCAGUUGUGAAAGUUUGCGGCUCAACCGUAAAAUUGCAGUUGAUACUGGAUAUCUUGACUGCCGUUGAGGCAGGCGGAAUUCGUGGUGUAGCGGUGAAAUGCUUAGAUAUCACGAAGAACUCCGAUUGCGAAGGCAGCCUGCUAAGCUGCAACUGACAUUGAGGCUCGAAAGUGUGGGUAUCAAACAGGAUUAGAUACCCUGGUAGUCCACACGGUAAACGAUGAAUACUCGCUGUUUGCGAUAUACAGCAAGCGGCCAAGCGAAAGCGUUAAGUAUUCCACCUGGGGAGUACGCCGGCAACGGUGAAACUCAAAGGAAUUGACGGGGGCCCGCACAAGCGGAGGAACAUGUGGUUUAAUUCGAUGAUACGCGAGGAACCUUACCCGGGCUUAAAUUGCAGAUGAAUUACGGUGAAAGCCGUAAGCCGCAAGGCAUCUGUGAAGGUGCUGCAUGGUUGUCGUCAGCUCGUGCCGUGAGGUGUCGGCUUAAGUGCCAUAACGAGCGCAACCCUUGUUGUCAGUUACUAACAGGUUCCGCUGAGGACUCUGACAAGACUGCCAUCGUAAGAUGUGAGGAAGGUGGGGAUGACGUCAAAUCAGCACGGCCCUUACGUCCGGGGCUACACACGUGUUACAAUGGGGGGUACAGAGGGCCGCUACCACGCGAGUGGAUGCCAAUCCCAAAAACCUCUCUCAGUUCGGACUGGAGUCUGCAACCCGACUCCACGAAGCUGGAUUCGCUAGUAAUCGCGCAUCAGCCACGGCGCGGUGAAUACGUUCCCGGGCCUUGUACACACCGCCC
rnacentral:rRNA from 1 species